rnacentral:lncRNA from 1 species
UAGGUCCCUGCCGGGAAGAACUCUGUGCCACCAACUUUGUUUAUGGAUCAAGAAUGGCUGAGAACUGAACCCAGAUGUGUCAGUCAGCUUGUCUUCACUGUGACCAAAACACCUUACAAGAACAACGUAAGAGCAGGAAAAGUAUUCUGAGGUCACAGUUUGAGGUUCAACCCCUGGUUGACUACUCCAUGGCCCUGAGCCUGAGGUGAGGCAGGGCACCGUGGAGGAAGGGUGAGGCAGAGGGAAGCUGCUCAGCCCCUGGCAGACUGGGGGCAAAGAGAGAGAGAUGAGCCACGGACAAGAUAUAUAUUCCCCAAGGGCCCCCAGGGACCUUUCUCCAGCCACACCCCACCUGGUAUACCACCCAGUAGUCCAUUCAAAUUAUGAAUCCGUCAAGUGGGUCAGUCCACUGACGAGGUCACAGAUUUCAUAUCCAAUCAUUUCACCUCAACAUUCCCGAGUUGUCUAUCACUUGAGCUUAUUUGGGGGACACUUCGUAUUUACAACAUAAUAAAAGACUCAAGUGGGCGGUGACCUGCAUUAACCCGUCACCCUGGUGCUGACCUUCCGUUGCCUGAGCCACCAUCACUGGGCAAAACACUGAUGGCAUGCAUGAUGGGUUGGUUAAGAUCUUAUAUUUUGGGGUGUAAUUAAUUCAAAGGCAAUUAGAUAUUCAAUAUUUCUCUUCCUGACUGCCAGUAGGAAUUAAUAGAAAACCUUUCAAUCAGCAACAACUCCAACACAAUCUCUGGCCCCAAAGAUGAUCAAUAUCACCCAGCAGAGCAUUCCUCUCUCUCCAGCAGGCUAUUCAUUUCUGGAACUUUCAAAACCAGAGCAGAACAUCCAUUUCCAUCUUCAUCAGAAGCCCCUGCCCGCAUCCUUUGCAGACAAUCCUUCAGAAGACACAGCAAUCCACGUGACUUUCUCAGACUGUCCAUCUUCAGGUCAUGCUGCAGGUCCCAGAAGCACUCAUAGAAAACUCUGCCCAGGGGCAUGGAGGUGAGUGGUGGUCACAUUUUAGGGAUGUUGGUCCCUGCCUUCCCUGAGCCUCCCUGAACCUGUGAAGAUACCCUAGAAUAGGAGACCCUUCAUCUUGCCACCAGGUUUACAUCCUGAAGUCCCCAGAGCCAACACACCUGGCAGCCUCCCAUGGACACUCGGAACUGUUGGUGGCCUCUUUCCUUCCCUCUGCUCUGCAGGUCCAGCCCCAGGGUUGGCCUUUGUCUCAGUAUCCCACCACUUCCUCCCUGUCUGGCAAGGUCCCGGAUGUCCUGACAGCUCCUGCCAGCCACCUCCCGGGUGGGAGUUAGGGGGGUGCCUGUGGAACAGGGGUUUCUGUUGAAUCCCCUCUCCUCUCCUUCCACCCCACCUUCAGUCGGGUUGUGGGAGAUGCGGAGAAAGUUCAGAACAAAGAUGCCAUUUGCAGACUUCUUGGAUGUGAGGACCCCCUGGAGCCAACAUCCUGUCUGUACUUUCAGGCUUUACCAUCCCCUGUGGAAACGCCACAGCGAGUGUUCCCCCAAUACCGUGGGCCACAUCAGUGCUAUGUAGGGAAUGUCCUGGGAGUCCUGAGAGCUGGUGGGAAAGUGCUGCCAGGCACCCCUCUGAGGGGACAUUUCCCUGGGGGAGCACUCUCUGAGGGAGCACCUCCCAGCCUCACCCAACCCUCAUGUGAAGGGGGAGGAAUUGUGAGCCUCAGAAGUUUAGGAAGGAUGUGGAUGGUCAGGGCAUACUGUUGGCCAGCUGACCAGGAGAAGCAGGUGACAUUGGAGGAAGCCUGGGAUGCCAUCGAGGACUAUCAUUUUGGGCUAAAAUAAAAACAGAUUCUUUGGGGUGCCACUGAGCCUGGGCCAACCUGAGUGUUUCCUUGGACUUUUCCAAUUGAGUAUCAUCUGCAGAUGAUGGAGGAACGACCUCUUAAGGAGAACCCAAGGUGUGACAGCUCGUCUAUGAAAGAGGAUACAUCUUAGGAAGCUAAAAACCAUGUGAAAAAACGUUCAUUCCUCAUGAACAUGGCCCCCUCUUGUUGUGGUUGGGGAAACUGAGGUGCAGAGAGGUGAAUGGACGGCCUGAACCUUCUCCAGCCAGGAGAUGACACCCAAGUGACAGCCCAAGGUCUAAGUGGCUCCAUGUCCUUCCCAAACAGGCUUCCCAAGAGACUUUGGAAGUUCUUCAAGUGAGCAUCCGGUGGUCCCUUUACCACACUUCUGAGUGAGCACUCAAGACACCUUAGGUGGCCACCUCAGGCAGCACGCAGGAGGCUAAAUACCCCAAUUCUGUCACCUGUUGUUUUCCAAAGUCCCUGCACGGACAUUUCUUGGGCUCCAGGUCUGACAUCUCCUGGUUUGUUUACUGAUGAGGGAAUAAGGAGGUGAUGACGGACCUUAUUAGCCAUGCGCCCUCAUGACUGUGAGUCAACCCAGGCAGGCACGCGCUGGUCCCCGAGGGUGGAGACACAAUGCGGGCUGUGCCUCUGGGGAGUUAUUGCCUGUGUCAGCGCGACAACAUGGUGGGAGCCAUGUUACGUACACAGAUGUCCAAUGUCCUUCUAGGUCACAGCACAGUCUCUGUGGCUAGGUGGGUAGGAUGCUCUAUGGGUGGCCUCCCUGUACCUGGGGAAUGUUCUUAGCCAGGGUCAGGGUGGCGUGGACUGAUGUCCCCAGGUCCUACCUGCUUCUAGUCCUUCUUGCCUCUGGCUCUCACAGUCGUCUUCCGAUGAGCCCAUCUUCUCUACAGAAGCCUCAUGCUUCUGACUGGGCAGUGGCUGUUCAUCCAUCCAUCAGUCCAUCCAUCCACCUACCCACCAGCAUUCACUAUCUACUCUCCAUUCCCUCCAGAGUAAGGUCCAGACUUCUGGUAUGAUCAUUUAGGAUGAUCUGCUAUCAGCAGUAGGAGGCCUCAAAUCACUCGAGUUUAGGCCAUAAAGAUGUUUGUCAUCUCAUCGUCCAGAAGUGUGGAGCAGGGACCUCCAGCCAGGAUGGCAGAGCUCCUGCUUCACUUGUCCCCCAUCCCAUCAUUCUGUCUGAUCCUGCUCAUGGGCUUCGUCCUCAAGCUGGAGACACCACGGCCAGAGACAGACACACACUGUCCCAAAGAAGAGGGAGCUUCUCUUCCUCUGCCUCCUUCCUGUGACAGUGGGGUGGCACAUGGGCUUGGGAUGUGCGUUUUCUAGUCCUAGGAGCUGAUCAUGAAAUGCGACUCCAAACUCACCCGGCUGUCAGGUUGGGCCCAGCCAGUGGCAAAAGAUAAACAACCACUUUCAGCAUGUUCCUGGAGCCCAGUGAGCAGUCAGCGGGACACACUCAGCCCAACAGGCCCCCACCACAAGGACAGCACUGAGUAGCCCUUCUCCCAGAGCUUGGCCUCAGCCAUGUGCUAACCUCUCAGCCCUCCUCCCAUCACCGCAGCCCCUCCCAGGCUGUCCUCCUCGGGUCCCCCAGUGGUGUUCUCCCUGGCUACCCCGGGUUCACGUUUCCUUUUCCCUGGGAAGGAAGACAGUCAGCAUAAGGGCUAACCUUGUGUCACACGUGACACCAAAGCUGGGGCUGCCGGAGCUGCCAGAAGCUCCCCUCUCCACUCUCACUCCCGGGGCCUGGGACUGGGCGGACUCAGGUCCCACCCGGAAUACCUCCUCUGCCCCUGCUGACCAGGACCUGAGCCCAGAGGACCCGAGCUCCAGCGGAGGCUAUUGCAGCAGCUUAUGUCCACCCACCCUGCCUCAGUUGUAUUUCAAAAGUAGAAAACAGGCUCCAUCAUAGACGUUUUCCACAAGUGAAGUCGAGGGAGCAGCCAGGGCCCUGCUGGGGCAGCAGGGGACUGCUCGAUUUUGAGCAAGCCCUGCUCAGGCCCACAGCCCCACUCAUCCUACAAACUCUGUUUCGGAAAAUGACAGAGGGCAGAGCAUCAGUUAGGCGUUCACUCAACAAACUUCACUGAGCACCUACUGUGUGCUGCAAACUAUGCUAGGUGCUGGGUAUGGGGAACUGGGUGAGGGAGGGUCUAGCGGUGGGAAGGCACAUUAGUCAUGGGCUCGGACAGGCUGCCCCUCAGCAACCAAGUGACGCAUCAAGCUGUAUGUUCCCUCUGAGCCUCAGUUUCUGGUCUGUGAGACAGGAGCAAUAAAUAGUACCUAGCACAGAUCACGAGGAUCCGAAGAGAUAAAGUCUGUGUGAAGCGUUUAAGCAGUAGUUAGGAAAUGACAGAUCACAUGACGACGAUGAAAAAGUUCCCCUGUGGGAGGCCAACCUUACACGUGACUGGGUUACACUCCCCAGUUGGUCGCAGAAAUGUGGCAGAGCUUUCCCCACCCUUCUUAGGUUUGAGGGUCGGAGUCUCGUGCAUGGGUGUGUCUUGCUACAGCCCCAUGGGUGGAGCUACACUCACCUGUUCCUUUGUAAUAUAACCUAAUAUAACCCCUUGCCCUGUUUAGGAUAGAAUCUUCCAUGGAAGUGCCUUGUGUGUGUCCCCUUCUCUUACUGUGCCCUUGGGUGUGGCCUACCCAGGUGUCCGUCAACCUGCUGACAGUGGACAUCAUGAAGAUACUGAGCCCCCUGAAACCUGACCCCCUGCCUCAUUUGAAUAGCUUCUCCUCAAUAAAAGGGUCAGCGCGUGCUCUCACUCUCGCUCUCUCUCUUUCUGCGGACCCUUAAGGUCAGAGGAGCCGUCACAGCGACCCCAAAGAAA